GUCAGGGCUGGAGGAUUAUCAAGUGCUGACAACCAUUACUGUUUGUGUUGUAUGUAAACUGCACAGUUAUUGGUUACAUUUGCUUGUGCUUGCACUUUCUUGAAGUCACGGUGCGUCAGUCAGUUUAUCAGCGGGGAGGACGCAGAGGAGUCUUCACGUUCCUUUGUGGAUAGACCCUGAGGUGGAAGUGGAGCGACUGGUUACCUGUAGGAUGACACAGAGGAGAUGAAUAGGCAUGUCCACUCAGCUGUCCCCACACUGAUUCAUCCUGACGUCCCAACCAGCUAAGCACAAACUCCCUAUGGUUAGUGCGCUCUGAUAUCUGCGCGUGAGUGUGUGUGUGUUCUUGUAUGAAAAUAGCCACUGCCGGUGAGUCGUGCAUGCACCAAAACCGUGGGUGUAAUUUCCUGCCAGGUACAUCAAAAUAGCAUCUGAA